UAGUAUAAAAAAAGUGCGUAAGUACUCCGUGACAGUAUAGAAAAAAAAAAAAGAUAAAUAAAGAUGAUAUUAACGCGAUAAAUUAUAUCUGGAGGAUUUAUUUAGAGGCGGAAUUCGUUUAUUAGCGAACGUUUUCAGCGGGUAGUAAGAAAACGUGGAGAGGCGCCGCGAGCCAAUGAGCGGCGCGGGAGAGGAAAACACGGGUGGCGGCUUCUCUCUGACCUUCCCUCUCACUUAGUUGUCGCUUAGACAUCGUGGCAAGAGGGUGGAGUGCGCGGCCACCGACUUGAAUUGAUCGGCGCGUGGAAUUGUACCCAGCCAGUGAAUGCAGUGCAGGAUGAGUUGUGGGCUAUAAGGCGUGUUGGAUGCCAUUGCGUGGUGGACGGAGUACAGCAUGUUCCGUCACCGCCGCCUGGAGUUCCCGUGCCGCGUGGAGGGCUGGCUUCAUAUCUGUGGUGAGUGAUGCAGUGCUGGCUUCUUGGUGAGGAAAAGUGACUGUGUCCGUGAAUCGAGCCCCGUGCUGGAUGUGGAUGUGCUGACAGCACGUGUCAUCCUUGUGGUCCAAAGACAACGGUGGUUCGCGUGCUGGCUGUCACUACUUCCGCAGAGACGCGUCCGCCGAGGAUGAUCCAUCGCAUGCAUACAGAAACUAAACUUUGGCUUAGGGAAUGAAGACCUUUGAAAUGUACACACCAAUUUGGCCAUGUGAAACAGCGUUGUCUGUCAUAAUACCACAUAUUUAGUGUAACUUGUACAAUUAAUCAAUUUAUUUAAUACUUUCGAAACUUUGAGAAAUGUUAAAUCUCAUCUUGUUGGAAAUAAUGUUUUACUAAUUAUAUUAAUACAUUAUC